UCUCACUUUUAAAUAUUCGAAAAAUAUUGGACUCAAAUUUCACAGUUUUCUCAAAUUUCUCUUCUCCUUGGUUCAUCUUCUCUGCUGAUCUCCUCUGGCACUAUCAGGUUUUACUGCAUUAAUUCUUUGUGAGUUUUGUUUUGCGUUGCUCUUUCUCCUUUGUAAUUUUAAGUUCCUUUUCGAGUCUUUAACUGUAUUUUUCUAAGCAGAUAUAUUUCAAUUAUUUCACGUCAAUCAAAGUACUCUCACUUUUAAAUAUUCAAAAAAUAUUGGGCACAACCUAUCAUUUCUCACUUUAUUCUCCUAACUCUUACCAUAACUUUAUUCGUAAUUUCUUUUUCCUCUUAAUGUUUUCACCAUUCAAAAAUAUGUUACUAAGAAAAUAUUAUUUUUUUAAACCUUUUUAGUAUGACACGGAGAUGCUUAAAAUGAAAAGGUAAAAGAUUGAAAAAGAGUAGAAAAUAAAAAAUAUUACUGUAGUCCUUUUGUCUCUCUAUGAUAGCCAACUAUACAAGGCAAAAUAAACUUCGUAAUAGUAAUGAAUGAUCAGGUAUAGUCUACAUAAGAGAAAUUUUUUUACUAUGUUGCUCAGACUCUUCGAAAAUAUCGUUAAGUGCAUGUCGGAUCCUCCAAAAAUAGUGGAUUAAUUUUUGGAGGAUCCAAUAUAGGUAAAAUAAUAUUUUGGAAUAUCCCCGCAACGUAAAUUCUCCCAAUAACACACAAUUAGUAUAUCUACUUCUUUAUAUUAUAUAAAAACUGGAAAGGAAAUGGCUAGGCUCGUAGACCAAUUCCUUUGCUGAAAAGUGAGACUCAAAAUCCACUUGGCAAAAAUACGAGAGGAAUCUCAUGCUAAGUUUAGUUGCGUCUCACGCGGAAUAGAUCUUUUCAAAUUGUAAGAUGAGGAUUGAUUAUCAUAGUAAUCACGUCAAUCAAAAUACUCUCACUCAGUUGGUAAAGCACCUUUAUCUACGACCAUUAGGUCCUGGGUUAAGGUCACGCUGGAGGAGAAGUGUGGAAAAAUAUAGAUCCUCCUAACUUGGGAGAGAUUUUUUGUAAAAAAAAAAAAAAGUACUCUCACUUUUCAUUCGGAAAACAUUGGGCGCAUCCUGUCAUUCACUUUAUUCUUCUAACUCUUACUAUAACUUUAUUUGUAAUUUCUUUUUCCCUUAAUGUAUUCACUAUUCAAAAAUAUGUUAAAUCUUAAGAAAAUGUAUUUUUUUAACCUUUUCAGUAUUAAACGGAGAUGCUUAAAGAGAAAAAGAAAAGAUUGAAAAAGAGUAGAAAACAAAAUAUUACACUCGUCCUUUUCUCUUUCUAAGAUAGCCAACUAUACAAGGCAAAACAAACGACGUAAUAGUAAUGAAUAAUUGGAUAUAGUCUACAUAAGACAAAAUGUUUUACUUUGUUACUUGAACUCUUUGAAAAUAUCGUUGUGUGCAUUUCGGAUACUCCAAAAGUAGUGGAUUAAUUUUUGGAGGAUCCAAUGUGGGUAAAAUAAUAUUUUGGAGCGUCCACGCAACGUAAAUUCUACCUAUGACACACAAUUAGUAUACCUUACUUCAUUAUAUCAUCUAAAAAUUGGAAACGAAAGGGCUAAGCUCUUUGGCCAAUUCUUUUGCGGAAAAGUGAGACCCAAAAUCCACUUGGAAAAAAUAUGGAAGGAAUCUCAUGCUAACUUUUUUUUGUUGGGUAGUUGUGUCUCACGCAGAAUAAAACUUUCCAAAUUGUAAGAUGAGGAUUAAUUCUCCCAGUAAUCACGUCAAUCAAAAUACUCUCACUUUGACAAGUGAGGUUUCUCAGUUGGUAAGCACCUCUACCCAUGACCGUUAAGUCCUUGGUUCGAGUCACGCUAGAGGGGAAGUGUGGAAAUACUAUAGAUCCUCCUAAAUUGGUAGGAACUUUUUGUAAAAAAAAAAAAACUACUCUAACUUUUAAAUAAUCGAAAAACAUUGGUCACAUCCUAUCAUUUCUCACUUUAUUCUCCUAAAUCUUACUAUAACUUCAUUUGUAAUUUCUUUUUCCGUUAAUGUUUACACUAUUCAAACAUAUGUUAAAUCGUAAGAAAAUAUAUAUAUAUAUAUAUAUAUAUAUUUAACAUUUUCCGUAUGAAACAAAGAUACUUAAAGAGAAAAAGAAAAAUAAUGAAAAAGAGUAGAAAAUAAAAAUGUUACUCAUGUCCUUCUCUUUCUAAGAUAGCCAACUAUAUAAGGCAAAACAAACGUCGUAAUAGUAAUGAAAGAUGGGAUAUAGUCUAUAGAAGAGAUAAUGUCUUAUUAUGUUGAUCGGACUCUUCGAAAAUGUCGCUAGGUGCAUGUCGGAUCCUCCAAAAGUAGUACUUGAUUAAUUUUUGGAGGAUCUAAUGUGGGUAAAAUUAUGUUUUGGAGCGCCCCGCAAUGUAAUUCUGCCUAUAACACACAAUUAGUAUACCAUACUUCUUUAUAUUAUCUAAAAAUUAAUACGUAAAAUAAUAUUUUGUGCAAAGAUUAUUUCAAGAUAAAGUAAUAUAUGUUUAAGACACCUAAGGUUAUUUAAUCCUUAUCUGCAAAAAGCUCAUACUAGAACUGCUAAUAUGCUUCUUCUAUUCUCAAGCUCUAAUACUUUCUAAAACAUGAUAUUAAGGAAUUCCAAGAUUUAGCUGUCUCUUUCAAUUGAUUUUGUGAAAUUAAUCUGUAAAUUCUGUCAGUAAUAACACUUAGCUACAACAUACAAUGGAUAAAAUGUUUUAAAGAUAGUGUCUAAACGAUUAGAUCGCACCUGCGGUUGCACAUGCGGUUAUGACAGCAGCUGGAGCUUCAGCUCUUGCUCCAAACUUUCAACUUGGUCUAGGCCUCGUCCGAUUGACGCUCGGGGGCUCGCCUGAAUGUAUCAACAAGUUCGGAAUCAUAAAACGGACUUGCUUAAACUCUUGGAAUGCCUGAAACAACAUAAAAACUAAGAAUCAUACCAUAAAAUCAAUUGAAUCAAACUUAAGAACUUCAAAUCUUCAAUGUACUUCCAAUGUGACGAAGCAUAUUUAUACUACUCGGAAUGACACCAAAUUUUGCGUGCAGGUCUUAAAUGACAUUAUGGAACUAUUUCCGGUCUUAGAAUUCUGUUUAGACCUCGAUAUCACUAAAAUCCGGUUUAAACCAAAUUUAAAAAACUUCAAAGUUCUUCAAGAACCAACUUCUAUUAUUAGGCGCCAAAACACUCCCGGGUCAUCCAAAACCCAAUCCGAACAUACGCCCAAGUCCGAAAUCAUUAUACGAACCUAUUGGAACCGUCAAAUCCUGAUUCCUUUGGAGCAUUGACUCAAGUGGUAAAGUGAAUUGUGAAGUAAAAUUGAAAAAAGAGAAAGAGUUAUUAAAUUGUUCCCUUGCCGGGAUAUUGUUGCUUAUUUGGUUAUCUCCCUCGCCAGGAUGUUGAUAUUAUUGAUAUUGUUCCCUUGUCGGGAUUUAAUUGUUGUUCCCUUGCUGGGAUUUCUAUUAUAAUCUUGUUUAUCCCCUCUCCCCAUUGUUUGUGAUUGUUGUUUGGGUGAGGAAGAGUGUUAAAGCACGAAGAGUGAUGUCGUGUAUGAUUGUGAGGAAAGAGUAUAAAGCACGGAGGGUGAUGCCAUGCUGCACGAUGUACCAUUCCGUUCCGAUUCUAUUGAUUGUAUGGUGAGGAAAGAGAGUAAAAGCACUAAGGGUGAUACCGUGCACAUUUUAUUAUGUAAUUGCUUUAGUGAGGACGAGAGUAAAAGCACGAAGGGUGAUGUCGUGCACUUAUUGAUUUAUGGUUUUUUAUUGAUAUCCAAGUUAUGUUGUUUCCUUCGUUACUUGAUUUUUUUACUUGGAAUUGUUAUCUUCCCGCAGCAUGCUCCCCCCAUAUUGAUUGGUUAUCUCUGUAUUUCUUUUCCGCUGUAUAUAUAUUUGAACUGCACAAGUUUAUUUGAUAGUUUGGUCCUAACUUCGUCACUACUUCGCCGAGGUUAAGCUAGACACUUACCAGCACAUGAGGUCGGUUGUGCUGAUACUACACUCUACACUAUGUGCAGAUCCCAGAGCAACUUUUGGGCAGCAGUUGGAGUGUUUCUUUCAGUCCACCCGGAGACCCAAGGUAAACCUGCAGGCGUCCACAGGCCCUGGCGUCUCCAUCUAUCUCUAUUUCCUGUUUUAUUUUUCUUUUAUUCAGAAACAAUGUACUAUUAUUCUUCAGACCUAGUAUGUAGUAAUCUUAGAUAGUCUGUGACACCGUGACACUAGGUUUUGGGUGUUUGAGGUUUUAAAAGCUGUAAUAGAUGCAGAUUUUAGAUAUUUAAUUGUCAUCGUUCGCUUAAUUAUCUAAAGAUCUGAUGUUAUCAUGUUAUAGCCUUAUGUUUGUUAAAAAGAAGUAAUAUGAAAAAUGAAGUAAGUAGUUAAGGUUUGGCUUGCCUAGCUCUCAUUAGUAGGCGCCAUCACGACUCGCGAUGGUGGGAAAUCUGGGUCGUGACAUAUGACUUGUACCACCGAUUUUGGUAAUUGUAA
rnacentral:lncRNA from 1 species